rnacentral:misc_RNA from 1 species
GAUGAAGAACGUAGCGAAAUGCGAUACGUAAUGUGAAUUGCAGAAUUCAGUGAAUCAUCGAAUCUUUGAACGCAUAUUGCGCUCUCUGGUAUUCCGGAGAGCAUGCUUGUUUGAGUAUCAGUAAACACCUCAACUUCCAUAUCUUUUUUGAAAUGGGAGUUGGACUUGAGUGAUCCCAACGCUUUUCCUCACCGAAAAGUGGCGGGUUACUUGAAAUGCAGGUGCAGCUGGACUUUUCUCUGAGCUAUAAGCAUAUCUAUUUAGUCUGCCUAAAAAACAGAUUAUUACCUUUGCUGCAGCUAACAUAAAGGAGAUUAGUUCUUGUGCUGACUGAUGCAGGAUUCACAAAGACAGGCUUCGGCCGACUUUGUAAACUCGAUCUCAAAUCAAGUAAGACUACCCGCUGAACUUAAGCAUAACAAUAAGCGGAGGA